AACUUUCAACAACGGAUCACUUGGUUCCGGCAUCGAUGAAGAACGCAGCGAAAUGCGAUAAGUAAUGCGAAUUGCAGAAUUCCAUGAGUCAUCGAAUCUUUGAACGCACCUUGCGCCCCCCGGCUUCCCGGGGGGCAUGCCUUUCCGAGCGUCAUUGCCCUCCCCUCAAGCUCUGCUUGGCUUGUUGGGCCAGCGUCCGCCUGCGGCUCCUGUGGCGGGGGGACGGGCCCGAAAGGCAGUGGCGGCCCCUGGGGACUUGGUCCUUUGGGCGGUGAUGCAUGGGUCUCUUCAUCCACCGUCCCGUUGGCCACGCCCCGGGAGUCUGUCGAACGAUUGGUCUUCCCCCUUUAGGUUGACCUCGGAUCAGGUAGGGAUACCCGCUGAACUUAAGCAUAUCAAUAAGCGGAGGCU
rnacentral:misc_RNA from 1 species